rnacentral:rRNA from 1 species
UAAUACGUAGGAGGCAAGCGUUGUCCGGAUUUACUGGGUGUAAAGGGUCCGCAGGCGGGCUUUUUAGUCGGGGGUGAAAUCCUGCAGCUUAACUGUAGAACUGCCUCCGAUACUGGAAGUCUUGAAUAUGGUAGAGGGCAACGGAAUUCCAGGUGUAGCGGUGAAAUGCUUAGAUAUCUGGAAGAACACCGGUUGCGAAGGCUGUUGCCUGGGCCAUUAUUGACGCUCAUGGACGAAAGCGUGGGGAUCAAACAGGAUUAGAUACCCUGGUAGUCCACGCCGUAAACGAUGGAUACUCGGUGUCGGCCCGUAUGGGUCGGUGCCUAAGCUAACGCAGUAAGUAUCCCACCUGGGAAGUACGAUCGCGAGGUUG